rnacentral:rRNA from 1 species
UACGAAGGGGGCUAGCGUUGUUCGGAUUUACUGGGCGUAAAGCGCACGUAGGCGGCGAUUCAAGUCAGAGGUGAAAGCCCGGGGCUCAACCCCGGAACUGCCUUUGAAACUAGAUUGCUAGAAUCCUGGAGAGGCGAGUGGAAUUCCGAGUGUAGAGGUGAAAUUCGUAGAUAUUCGGAAGAACACCAGUGGCGAAGGCGACUCGCUGGACAGGUAUUGACGCUGAGGUGCGAAAGCGUGGGGAGCAAACAGG